rnacentral:lncRNA from 1 species
UGAGACGUAGGCAUCCAGGAGGGUUUAAACAAGUGAAAUAUGCUAUGGGCUCAAUAAAAAAAGAAAAUAAUAUAGUAGGGGAUUUGGAGGGCAUUGUGGGCGGCUCUAAGGGGGAUCAAACUAGAAACUUGAUUUCAUUAUAUGAUAUCAUUGCUACAUUGACAUGAGGAGCAGAUACACAAAGCACGUAGCCUUGGUUGCUAAAGAACGAACACACGAGCAGUUCACUAUUCUGUAACUUCAGCGCAACAACGAGUACGUAAUGUUGAUGAAAUUUAAUUUUAUGUUUAUUAUUCUUUUGGACAUAGGUAUGGAAAUAAGAGAUUUAUAAUUGAGUAUUGAUGGUAAAUUGCGGUAACCAGAUAAGUUUCUAACGAAUUAAAUUCAUGGGUGAUUCGAUGCGAAUUAAGAAAGUUUAGCCAUAAGGUUUUUCAACUAAAAUUGUCAAUUUGAAAGGGCAAAUUUUAUCAAAAUUUAAUUUUGAAUCCUCUCGCUGAUGAGGAGAAUCCCUUGGUGGUCAUGGGUCGUAAAUUCUGACUCGUCGACUAACGUUAACAAUUAAGAGCAUGUUCACCUUAGAAUUUUUUUAUCAUUCUUAACCCAUUGUUGUGUAGUUUGAGGUGAUAUAGAGGCCGGAGAGCAUAGUUUUGACUUAUCGGAAAUGGUGCUUGAUUUGCGAAUUUGAGGUAAGUGACACUUUAAUCUUUGAUGCUUGUUUUUCUAAAACCCAAAGUGACACUUUAAGCUUUGAUGCUUGCUUUUCUAAAAUCCGUUUUGAAAGUAUAUUUUUUUUGCCUGAUCCAUGUAUUGGGACAAGCGUGCGCUUGGCAGAAUCGGUGGUCUUUAACCAGCCGCAAAUAUAUAUGAUUUUCUAAAAAGCUGAAAUUAUUUAAUAAGUGAUUUGUGGUGUGGUGUGGCAUAGCGUCGUGCUAUGGCAUUGGGGCGUUAGAAAUUAUUUUUUCGCUACCGUUAUAUAUUUGGGGCACUGUGUAUGCCGCCAUGGUAGAUUUGGGUCAUUGUGUAUGCUGUCGUGGACUCGUUGGGUAUUUGGUUAAUUUCCUGCACUGCCAUUGAUGACAAGUCCUUAGUGUAGAUUGUGUUGAGAUAUAUAUAGUAUUGUUGCUGACUAAUUAUUUGGACCUUAUAAAGUAAUUAUAUGGUGAAAGUAUUUAUGUGCUCGUUGUAUGUUUGUAUUUUCUAACACUUGUUCCAAUGGUAUUCAGAGUGGCGGGUCGAGGAUCUUACUGAGUUAUAUUUCUGUAUAACUCACACCUUACCUGCAUGUCCAUGCAUAUACUAUUGGUGAAGAUGAAGUUAGUAGCUGGCGAGUUCGCUAGAGUUGAUUCGGUUAUUGAGGUGAGCCACCGCAUUGUUCAUGGAGGUUGUCAAAAGAGUCUUUAUUAUUCAUUCAUAUGAUAUCUUUUGUAAUUCUCUUAUAUGUUCCAUGGUAUAGUGUGAGAUUUGGGCUAGAGUUUUUAAUUUAAUAUUUCGAGAUAUUAAUCGAUCGUAAUUGAUUAUCAGAUGUUGGAUACUCAUUUAAUUUAUCAAAUGCUUCAAAUUAAUGGCUA